rnacentral:rRNA from 1 species
GACGAACGCUGGCGGCGUGCUUAACACAUGCAAGUCGAACGGAAAGGCCCUGCUUUUGUGGGGUGCUCGAGUGGCGAACGGGUGAGUAACACGUGAGUAACCUGCCCUUGACUUUGGGAUAACUUCAGGAAACUGGGGCUCAUACCGGAUAUGAGCUCCUGCUGCAUGGUGGGGGUUGGAAAGUUUCGGCGGUUGGGGAUGGACUCGCGGCUUAUCAGCUUGUUGGUGGGGUAGUGGCUUACCAAGGCUUUGACGGGUAGCCGGCCUGAGAGGGUGACCGGCGACAUUGGGACUGAGAUACGGCCCAGACUCCUACGGGAGGCAGCAGUGGGGAAUAUUGCACAAUGGGCGGAAGCCUGAUGCAGCAACGCCGCGAGCGGGAUGACGGCCUUCGGGUUGUAAACCGCUUUCGCCUGUGACGAAGCGGGAGUGACGGUAAUGGGUAAAGAAGCACCGGCUAACUACGUG